AGCAUCUGAAUAUCUUCGAUUGAAUAAGGAUAGAGAGGAUGGAAAAUCAAGGGCGAAAUGGUAAGAGAUUGGUCCUGGUCCCAGGACCAUUCCAGGGCCACCUCACUCCUAUGCUUCAGCUGGCGACCGUCCUCAAGUCCAAGGGCUUCUCCAUCACAAUUGCUCACACACAGUUCAACAGUCCAGAUUCUUCUGCUCACCCCGAUUUCACCUUCUUAUGCAUACCUGACGGCUUGUCUGAAGAAGAGGUUCGGAACCCUGAUCUGAUAGGCAUUGUGCUGAGGCUUAAUGUCAACUGUGAGUCCAGCUUCAGGGAGUGCCUAAAUCAGGGCACAAACCAUAUGGAGUCAGGUGACAAGAUUUGCUGCAUCAUCUAUGAUGCAAUCGUGUACUUCUCGGAAGCCGUUGCCCGCGAUUUGAAGAUCCCUAGCAUUGCUUUACACACGAGCAAUGCUGCUACUACCAUAGUCCGCCCAAUUCUUCUCCAGUUAAAGGCACAAGGACACAUCCCUGUCCCAGAUUCCAUGUUGCAGGUUCCGGUGCCCCUGCAUCAGCCCCUGAGGUUCAAAGACCUACCACUCUCCAAUUUUGGAAGUUUGGACUAUUUCUUAGAGGGGAUAGUCUUGAUGUAUAAUAUCGGAUCGUCUUCGGCCAUUAUAUUCAACACGAUUCACUGCCUUGAAGAGCCACCUCUGGCGCAGCUCCACCAACGGUACCAAGUUCCGAUUUUUCCAAUAGGUCCUCUACACAAACUCGCUCCUACCUCAGAUGUUAGCUUACUGCAAGAGGAUACUGGUUGCAUAACAUGGCUUGACAAGCAAACUCAUAAUUCAGUCAUUUAUGUGAGUUUAGGAAGCAUAGCACAUCUGAACCAAGACCAAUUGUCAGAAAUGGCUUGGGGUCUGGCAAAUAGCAAGGAGCCUUUCUUGUGGGUUAUUAGGCCUGGCUCGAUUCUGGGUUCAGAAUGGAUCGACUCAAUGGAUGAAGGAUUCAAAGAAUGUGUUAAGGACAGGGGAUGCAUUGUGAAAUGGGCACCUCAGAAGAAAGUACUGGCUCAUGAUGCGGUGGGAGGGUUUUGGAGCCACUGUGGAUGGAACUCUACCUUGGAGAGUAUAUGUGAAGGUGUCCCGAUGAUAUGUCAACCAUGCUUUGGCGACCAAAAGGUGAAUGCGAGGUACUUGACUCAUGAAUGGAAGGUUGGAUUAGAACUGGAGGGUGAGAUAGAGAGAGGGACGGUGGAAAGAGCUGUUAGAACAUUGAUGAAGGAAAAGGAAGGUGAAGAGAUGAGGCAGAGGGUCUUGGAUUUGAAGCACAAGGUUGAAGUUAGCAUAGGUGAUGGUGGAUAUUCUUCCCAUUAUCUGAGCGAGCUGGUCGAGUUGCUGACAUCGCUCUAGCAGCACAGAGUUGUUUUUGACUUAAGGACUGCACAGAAUGAAGUUUGUGUACUGCAGAAAGUGCAGAUUUGGUCUUCUGGCGUUAAAACAGAACAGAACGGGGGGCAUCACGCAAAAUGCGAAUUGCAGACGUUUGUGGCGUUCGUAAGGAUAUGUCCUUCAUGAUCUUCACGACUUUCUCCUCCACUCAGGACGUCUGGAAAAGUGUCGGUAGAGGGUAUUCCUAAUUCAAGUAUGAAGAGCUUCACAGAGCCUCUUCGUACACGGAUCAAGUUUUAUUGUGGUGCAGAAGAAGAAGAUCUCUAGCAUCGUCGAACUACCAUCUCCCCUGGAACUUUUUGCAUAUAAAUUAAAAAUAUACAGAUGGCUCAGCUUUGGAAAACCUGGAUUAGACGGGUGCAGGAGGCAUUUUGCGUAGCCUGUCAAUUUUCACAAAUUAUCGGCUCUGCCUCGUCUGUCCUUGCCGAGAUGUCGGCUCUCACCGAGAUGGAUUACAACUUGCUGUGGAUCGUGGAACUCGGAGAUUGAUUGUCGAACUUGAACCCGUGGCUUUUCUCCAGGUAAUGGAUAAGAAUUCUUUCAAUGAUCUUUCUCUGAUUGGUAUUAGGCAUCUACUAAUGUCCAGCUAAUAAUGUCAAGAACAAAAUAGAAAAAA